rnacentral:rRNA from 1 species
AGAGUUUGAUCCUGGCUCAGGACGAACGCUGGCGGCGUGCUUAACACAUGCAAGUCAAGGGGGGCCGCAAGGUCAACCGGCGAACGGGUGCGUAACACGUGAGCAACCUGCCUAAGUGUGGGGGAUAGCCGGCCCAACGGCCGGGUAAUACCGCAUACGAUCACUAGUCGGCAUCGACAUGUGAUGAAACUUUCGAGGCACUUAGAGGGGCUCGCGGCCUAUCAGCUUGUUGGUGGGGUAAUGGCCUACCAAGGCUACGACGGGUAGCUGGUCUGAGAGGAUGGCCAGCCACAUUGGGACUGAGAUACGGCCCAGACUCCUACGGGAGGCAGCAGUGGGGAAUAUUGCGCAAUGGGCGAAAGCCUGACGCAGCGACGCCGCGUGGGGGAUGAAGCAUUUCGGUGUGUAAACCCCUGUUGCUCGGGACGAACAAUUGGUUUUGACCAAUCUGACGGUACCGGGUGAGGAAGCACCGGCUAACUCCGUGCCAGCAGCCGCGGUAAUACGGAGGGUGCGAGCGUUGUCCGGAAUCACUGGGCGUAAAGGGCGCGUAGGCGGUCUGCUAAGCGUGUGGUGAAAGCUCGGGGCUCAACCCCGAGUCUGCCAUGCGAACUGGUGGACUUGAGCACUGUAGGCAGGUGGAAUUCCGGGUGUAGCGGUGGAAUGCGUAGAGAUCCGGAAGAACACCAGUGGCGAAGGCGGCCUGCUGGGCAGUUGCUGACGCUGAGGCGCGACAGCGUGGGGAGCAAACAGGAUUAGAUACCCUGGUAGUCCACGCCGUAAACGAUGGGAACUAGGUGCUUGGGGGAGCGACCCCCCGAGUGCCGGCGCUAACGCAUUAAGUUCCCCGCCUGGGGAGUACGGCCGCAAGGCUGAAACUCAAAGGAAUUGACGGGCAAAAAAAA